AAAAAGGUUUUAAAUAUUUUUUAUUCUAAAUUAAAUUCACAUGGUGUUAUACAAAAAGAAAAAUCCACAAUCUAAAAAUGUUUACAAAAUAUACAAAACUUUACAGUGAUCAGUAAAAUUUUUAAUAUUAACAAGUUCAUGUCUACAGUAACCUUAAAAAGGCAUAAGAGAAAAGAAAAUAUUAGAGGUAAUCUAAACUCCCUAGAUUUUUUUUUUUUCACGGCAUACAAUCAGAUGGACGGACAACUCAAACAAACAUACAGCAUAAAAACAAAAAUUCUAAACGUUCAACAGAAAGUGUUAAGAGGAAUUGUGCAAAUAAACAUCUGCAUGAGGUCCUGUUUACGUAAUAUAUUUCAAUAUAACAAUUGUGACCUCCAGUGGUCAUCCUGUAGAAAUUAACCAUAAUAUUGCCUAUAUUUACCAGAAAAACAGACUAUUAUUAUUGAAGGUAGACAGGCUCUGAAUUAUGUUUUGGUUCACGUUAAUAUGGGUCCAUAAGAAAAACAAACAAAAAAAGUUUCCAGCUUUGAGUAGGAUCUAUCAUUGUGACAGUGCUUGUUCUCACUCAAGAAGAAUGUAGAUACAUUUUUGGAAACCAAGCAUUAAUAACAGAGUGAAACCAUGAACUUUGCACAGGCAUUUUGAAUAAGGCACAAACCCUGUUUAAAAGAGAUAAACUAGUGAAAGCAGCAGUACUCUCCUUGAUGGUAUAGAAUUGUUAUAUAAGUUUAGUCUAAUGUUUCUGGGGUAAAUAUGUCUUUGCUUGCCUGAACAAAACAAAUAUCACAUGUCACGAAAUAGGAGUCUCUUAGCUGUGAUAAAAUUGAGAAUGACCUUCCUUCGUAGACACAAUGAAUGUCGCUGUACUGCGGAAGACACUUAUGAAACCCCACCCUAACCCACGGGCGUGAGCCAUUUUCUUUCCUAUUAGGAGAUCCUCAAUUGUGGAUUGAAAUGAUGCUUCCUCUCCACAAACAGAAGGAUGAUUCCACAAGCACAUUUUUGGGGCUAUCAUGACCCUGAGUCUUGUUUAGAUAGCUUGACUUUUUUUACAUUAAAAAAUAAGAUUGGUGUACAGACAUUUUUUCUUAGUCUAAUAACAACAAAAAUAAUCUGAAAGACCAAAGAGGAAAAAAAUAAAAAAUAAAUAAAAAUCAGGCAGAGUAAUUAGAGUUUGCUUUAUGGGAAAUAAAAUCAGAGGUAGUCUACUGCACCAAAUAGACAUUUAAAAUGAGCUAAAAAUUAUGGAAAUUACACAGAAAUGAAAUUACACCGAUUAUGUGUAGCAGCCAACACGUAUCGCCAUUUUAAUUUGACUGGAUACUGAAGAGUUUAUAUGUCUGCGAAGUGACCUAAAAUAUUCUUAUCUAAUCUACUCAUAGCAAACUCAGGACAUAGUGAACUAAUAAACGUAAUUUUACUAUCAAAAGUUUGACAGAAUGAUUCAAGAAAUUCCAGUGCUUAUAAGGUCAAAACUACAGCAAUGUCUUCUUCAUGUCUUGCUUCAAGAAACAUGCACUACCACUAUCGAUGUAAAUACCUGAACACCUUAAUAAUAUAAAAUGGUGAACAUGGAGUACUAUAUUGAUAAUUUCAAAGAGUCAUACUGAAAUGAAUAGACAGUGUUUAAAAUGCAUUAACAGCCAUGGGAUUUUUUUUAUUCUGCACACUUAAAUGUGUGUAUUUGUAUAAUAUAUAUAUAUAUAUAUAUAUAUAUAUAUAUAUAUGUAUAUAAAAACAACAAAUAUAUAUGUAUUCCAAUUGAUGAUCCGCAUUCACAGGCUCCAGUUAAAAUGUAACUUUUAUUUCUUACAUUAAUAGAACGAUAGAGAUGCCAUAGAUUGUCAACGUUUCAGUCCUAGGUCGGGACUUUCCUCAGGAAAGUCCCAACCUGAGGAAAGUCCCGACCUGGGACUGAAACGUUGACAAUCUAUGGCAUCUAUAGCGUUCUUUUAAUAUAAGAAAUAAAAGUUACAUUUUAACUGGAGCCUGUGAGUGCGAAUCAUUAAUUGGAAUACAUUUGUAUAUGGAUGACCUGGAUCUGGCACCCAGCAUGUAACCCAUUGGAACUUACAACCUGCAGUGCAAGGAUCUGUGGAAUGUGUAGAUAUAAACAAAAGAAAAGAGAUGCACUCCAAGGACUUAAGUGAAAAAAGGGGUAAUUUAUUCCAAUAGGUAUUGCAUCAAAAUUGAGCCGACGUUUCGACCCAUUCGGGUCUUUCUCAAGCAUGGGUCAAAACGUCGGCUAAAUUUUGAUGCAAUACCUAUUGGAUAAAUUACCCCUUUUUUCACUUAUUAAGUCCUUGGAGUGCAUCUCUUUUCUUUUGUUUAUAUAUCUUCAAAUUGGAUUAUUUUACACGAAAGGGUGAGUGCCAAGAAAAUUUUU